rnacentral:lncRNA from 1 species
CAGCUCCUGCAGCCGCUCCAGCUCCUGCAGCCGCUCCAGCUCCAGCUCCUGCAGCCACUCCAGCUCCAGCUCCUACUGCUGCUCCAGUCCCAGCUCCUGCAACUGCUCCAGCUCCUGCAGCCGCUCCAGCUCCUGUGGCCGUGUCAGAGAAACGAGCUGUAGCAGUGCAAGUUGACCCAGCAGAGGGUAUUCCAAUCCCUGUAACGGGGUCAGAGAAACGAGCUGUAGCAGUGCAAGCUGCCCCUGCAGAGGGUAUUCCAACCUCUGUGGCAGACCCUGUAACAAAGUCAGAGAAACGAGCAGUAGCAGUGCAAGCUGCCCCUGUAGAGAAGGUGAAAAUAUGGUAUAGAAAUUCAAGUCGUUUAGAACGCAGAGAGUCUUCUGCCAAUCCAGGUAAAGCUUCUGCCAAAACUAAGUAUAGAGAUGACGAAGAUGAUGACGACGCUGGGCCAUCAAGGAUUCAGGAGGAGGAAGAUGAGGAUGCCGAAAGAGCAACAGUAACUACCCGAAGCCUAAACGAGCGCGAGCUACGAGAUGUGCGAAAAGAUUUUGGUCGCUGUAUAGGUGAGCAGCUUGUCACCUGGCUGCUCCGGUGCUGGGACUCUGGAGCCAAUUGUGUGGAAUUAGACGGCAGGGAAGCCAGACGGUUGGGAUCCCUUGCUCGAGACGCCGGCAUUGACAAAGCAAUUGCAGAUGGAGCACGACCCACCAGCCUCUGGAGGCGUCUCCUCUCAGCUGUGAGGGAAAGGUAUCCCUUCAAGGAAGAUAUUUUAUGUCUACCAGGCAAGUGGACCACUAUGGAGAAGGGAAUCCAGUACCUGAGGGAAUUAGCCGUACGGGAAGUGAUUUAUGAGGAUCCAGACCAGACACAAACAUCCAAAGAUCCAGAUGAAGUCAAGUGUACACGACCCAUGUGGCGGAAGUUUGUACGGAGUGCACCAUCAUCAUAUGCCAGCUCAUUGGCAGUAAUGGCCUGGAAAGAGGAUGAGGAACCCACAGUAGAUGAGGCGGCUAAACAACUCCGGCAGUACGAAGAAAGUCUCUCCUCUUCCUUACAGGCCUGCGUCUCAGCUGUGGAGAAACUUUCUGAAAAGUUUCACCAACUUGAAGAGAAUCUAUUGUCCUCCCCACCUGAACCAACCAGUGCCCACCGACCAAAAGAGAACACUUGGGAGAAACUUUCUGAAAAGGUUCACCAACUUGAAGAGAGAUUAUUCUCCUCUGCACCUGCACAAAGCAGUGUCUCAGCUGUCAGGGGUAGGCGUUCACCCGCACAAGGAAGACGAUAUGGUGGGUACUCACCCCGUGCCACCCUGUGGUUUUACUUACGAGACCAUGGAGAGGACAUGAGAAAAUGGGAUGGAAAAUCUACCGCGACCCUAGAGGCACGGGUACGUGAGUUGCAAAAGAAAACAAUCAGGAAAAAAGGAUUCUCCGAAAAGUUUGCUGCUCCAACUUCCAGCAGACAAUCCUUCAAACACAGAAACGAAGAAGAUUCUGACCAGGAUUAGGGGGGCCCUGCCUCCAGCCAGGGGGAGGAAAGGGACAAUCGAGUUUAUUGGACUGUGUGGAUUCGAUGGCCUGGCACAUCACGCGCACAGAAGUAUAAGGCUUUAGUAGACACC